GCGACAAUUACCCUCAGAGACUUUCCCCAUAGACUGUGUAAAGAACACUGAAACUAUAGAUUUUUUGCAUAUAAUUCUAGAAGGAACCAGGAAAAUACUUCACUCCUCAACAGGUUUUAAGCACUUAUUUAUAGAGCCAAUCCCAUGCAGACCAGGAAUAGCUAGAUGAUGCAAGUGUAACCCUGGGAGAGUGGACUAGAGGAUUGCCCUCAACACCUGAUCAUGCUGUGCUGUUAGGCUGGGGAAAUAGGCAGCAUGGUGUCAGGUUACAGAGGCCUGCUUUUGCAGUUUCUAUUCAAAUCAAGAACAUGCAGGGGCCCAAUGGGCGCUGGUUUUACACCUCUGACAGAGAGAUCGAGACUGUUGAGCCUCUUCCUGUGGUUUUGCAGCAUGUGGUUGAGAGUGUGUUAAAAGCGAGGCAAACCCUCGCUUCAGCCCUCAGUUUCUUCCGGGACCCAGCCGAGCAUGAUGGUAAGAGCAUAUAUUAUAUUCUUUUUUUAGUUGUAACACUUUUAUGAAGAAAUUCAGUGAACAUAUAAACUGUGCCAUUAGACUAAUAGGCAUUUGCAUACAUAUCAACUAUGUGCUAGUAUGAAUAUAACAAAGUAUGGGUACCAACCAAGGUAUUAAGUCAUAAUAAUAAAUGUGUAAUUAAACAAAUAAAACUGUACCUAUGUAAUAACAACUCUAAUAACAACUCCCUAUUAAUUGAGUUUACAGUAUUGCAGACUUGAAUAUUUUUUCUUGAAGAUGUCUUCCGCAUUAAUGCUACUGAGAUCUAGAAAGGAACUUACAAUGACUUUCCAUUGACGUUUUGAUGCACAGUUUUAGUGUGGUUACUAUUCUCUUAAACCAUCUUGAUCUUGAUACAGAAUUGCUCCUCCCAGAUAGUCAUGUUUUCAUUGUAAUAUAAAAGAUAUCGGCAUAGUGAACUAGAUUCAAUAUGAUGUCCCAGAGAUUACGAAAGGAAACAGGAGGAAGUACUCAGACGCACGCAUUGGACUCACAAAAGAAAGAUGGACGACUGAAGUACAGUGUAGUCAACCAUAAAGUAGAAAGCACUAUUAAACUAUACUCCACAGUGUAGUGUUUCCUACUUUAUGGAUGACUGCACUGUUGGCUACAAUGACAAGUGAUGGAUCAACCUAUGCCAACACGAGACACUAUGAUAACCUCUUUACAUAAACCAUCUUUAACCUCUUCCUCUGUUUGACCCCAAUAUAUAUAUAGGCACUUGACGCUUUACAAUGACAGUUUCCUGUUUAAGUUGUUUAUUUGUAUUAAAAAUGCAAUUUCCAGUGCACAUAUUUAGAACUGUAAUAUAACAGUGAUUCCUGAUACAACUACUGUAUUUCAUUACAUUCUUCAUUACUGCAUUUAAUUGUAAAGUGCUGUGGUGCAUCGACAUGAAAUUCAACAAUAAAAGGUGCUCUAUAAAACUAA